rnacentral:tRNA from 1 species
GGCUCGUUAGGUCUAGGGGUAUGAUUCUCGCUUCGGGUGCGAGAGGUCCCGGGUUAGAAAUCCCGGACGAGCCC